rnacentral:rRNA from 1 species
ACGCUGGCGGCAGGCUUAACACAUGCAAGUCGAACGGUAACAGGAAUUAGCUUGCUAAUUUGCUGACGAGUGGCGGACGGGUGAGUAAUGCUUGGGAAUCUGGCUUAUGGAGGGGGAUAACUACGGGAAACUGUAGCUAAUACCGCGUAAAAUCUUCGGAUUAAAGGGUGGGACUUUCGAGCCACCUGCCAUAAGAUGAGCCCAAGUGGGAUUAGGUAGUUGGUUAGGUAAAGGCUGACCAAGCCGACGAUCUCUAGCUGGUCUGAGAGGAUGACCAGCCACACUGGAACUGAGACACGGUCCAGACUCCUACGGGAGGCAGCAGUGGGGAAUAUUGCACAAUGGGGGGAACCCUGACGCAGCCAUGCCGCGUGAAUGAAGAAGGCCUUCGGGUUGUAAAGUUCUUUCGGUGACGAGGAAGGUUGAUAGGUUAAUAGCCUAUCAAAUUGACGUUAAUCACAGAAGAAGCACCGGCUAACUCCGUGCCAGCAGCCGCGGUAAUACGGGGGGUGCGAGCGUUAAUCGGAAUAACUGGGCGUAAAGGGCACGCAGGCGGUGACUUAAGUGAGAUGUGAAAGCCCCGAGCUUAACUUGGGAACUGCAUUUCAUACUGGGUCGCUAGAGUACUUUAGGGAGAGGUAGAAUUCCACGUGUAGCGGUGAAAUGCGUAGAGAUGUGGAGGAAUACCGAAGGCGAAGGCAGCCCCUUGGGAAUGUACUGACGCUCAUGUGCGAAAGCGUGGGGAGCAAACAGGAUUAGAUACCCUGGUAGUCCACGCUGUAAACGAUGUCGAUUUGGGGAUUGGGCUUUGAGCUUGGUGCCCGUAGCUAACGUGAUAAAUCGACCGCCUGGGGAGUACGGCCGCAAGGUUAAAACUCAAAUGAAUUGACGGGGGCCCGCACAAGCGGUGGAGCAUGU